AUCUAGCUGACGAGUUCAAAAUAGGAUGAAACGCCCGUCAUGGAU
rnacentral:hammerhead_ribozyme from 1 species